rnacentral:rRNA from 1 species
GACGAACGCUGGCGGCGUGCCUAAUACAUGCAAGUCGAACGCACUCUCGUUUAGAUUGAAGGAGCUUGCUCCUGAUUGAUAAACAUUUGAGUGAGUGGCGGACGGGUGAGUAACACGUGGGUAACCUGCCCUAAAGUGGGGGAUAACAUUUGGAAACAGAUGCUAAUACCGCAUAAAACCUAACACCGCAUGGUGUAGGGUUGAAAGAUGGUUUCGGCUAUCACUUUAGGAUGGACCCGCGGUGCAUUAGUUAGUUGGUGAGGUAAAGGCUCACCAAGACCGUGAUGCAUAGCCGACCUGAGAGGGUAAUCGGCCACACUGGGACUGAGACACGGCCCAGACUCCUACGGGAGGCAGCAGUAGGGAAUCUUCCACAAUGGACGAAAGUCUGAUGGAGCAACGCCGCGUGAGUGAAGAAGGUUUCGGAUCGUAAAACUCUGUUGUUGGUAGAAGAAUGUAUCUGAUAGUAACUGAUCAGGUAGUGACGGUAUCCAACCAGAAAGCC